CUGGAAGUCACUGAAAUAGGCUGCGGUGUAUUCUCAGCUGAUUCCUGGGCAGUGGUGGUUUUUCAGCUACCAUAUCUUCAGAAGGGCAUUGGCAAGCUUUGGAAGAUUCUGAUCAGGGAGAACAAGAUCCCCAAAACUGUAGAAACCACAUAAUAUGAAGAUAUGUUGUGGAAACUUGGCAUUUUAUCCUGAAGAAGAGAAGCCUCAGAGGACACAUUAUAGGUAUGAAUGCCUUUCCCACGGAAGGAUGAUCCCAGAAUUCAGUGGAAGUUACAGGGAGGUAGAUUUCAGCUUCAUAUAAGGAGAACCAUCAUAAAAAACAAAACUGUUCAAAACAAAACAAAACAAAAAAUGGAAUGUUCUGCCUUGGGAGAGAGUGAGUGAGUUCCUGGAUAGGCUUGAGAAGAGGUUGGAAGACCAUCUGUGAGGGAUGCUGUGCAAAGGAUUUUUGCUUGGGUGGGAGGUUGGCCUUGCUGACCCCUGAGAUCCCUUUCAACUACAACAGUCCUCAGUUCUACAAUUAAUGAAAAGAAAUCUCUUCUAACUACAACACAGCAAAAGGCAAAGCCAGCAAUCAAAAGGAAAAGUUGUCUGGGUACAAGCCAGGAUGAUUCAGCAUCUCCAGGGGAGCACCAAGGGGAGGAACAGAGAGAAUGCCUCUGGGAACAUAGCUGGACAGGCAACAACCCGUUAUCCUGAGGAGGGAUCCAUAGUAUUCACCAGACUGCGAAGAGGACUAUGACACAAACAAGGUGAAGAAACUGGGUUUAAACUGCUGAGAUCUUUUUAGAUCCUGAAUCUGUCAACUGGCAUAUUAGCUCUCCCUUCCAGCUUCUUGACAUCCACAAAUUGGAUGAGCAUGCUAUAUGUGCUUUUAUAUAAGACUGAUAAAUUGAUUAAGCAGCACUGAAAAAAAGAAGAAAUUCCUGGGGCCUUCUA